GCGGGCGUGGCGGAAUGGUAGACGCAACGGACUUAAAAUCCGUUGGGAGCAAUCCCGUGGGGGUUCAAGUCCCUCCGCCCGCACCA
rnacentral:tRNA from 1 species